rnacentral:lncRNA from 1 species
CACAUUUCAACAUCAACAUGUUCCUCAAUGAACCUAUCAGGUCGGAAAUCUAAGGGAUCAGACCAAAUGCGAGGGUCACGUUGCAGCUUCCAUAGGUUUGCAAAUAAGCGUGUGCCAGCUGAAAUGUGGAAGCCUGCCAAAGUGCAAUCUUCUAUUGCUUCAUGGGGUCCAUUGAGUGGUGCAGGCGGGUAUAGUCGUAAUGUUUCCUUGACAAUGGCUCGCAAGUAAGGUAGAUUCUUCACAUCUGAUUCAUUUACUUGGCGAUCUCUUCCAACAUGCUUUUCCAAUUCAUCUUGAACUUUUCUUAGCACGUGGCGGUGGUUAAGUAGCAAUGAGACUGCCCAAGUAAGCGUGACCAUUGUUGUGUCAUAUCCACCUAAGAGAAGGCUCUGCAGAGAGCAGUCCAAUGAUACAGAGUGCAUAUCUUAGUAAAACAAACUUACUCUACUGUAUAAAAUGAGUUUUCUUACCUUUCUCAUAAUUAAUUGUAGUUUUGUGGUGAGAGCACAAAAGAAACUAAUAUACUCUGUUGUUUUCGUUAAUAGAAUAAAGGUUUCCAAGUCAAGUACCUGUUAAAACUAGUGUGAUAUAUUCCUUAAUUGAUUCUUAGCAUUUUAAGGCUAAAAGUUCAUAUAGAAUCAGUUGCAUUUUUGGCUGAAACUUGAGAGUGUUGGGUAUAGAUUUACCAGGCAAGUGCCUUUUAUGGUUGUGUCGGAGAUCUGAGCAUCUGGAUCCGAUUCCAUGAUAGACAGCAUCACAUGCAUAAAGUCUUGCUCAGAUUCAUUGAUGCUCGCAAGUUUCCUUUUUUGUUUAUGCUCCUUCAUCCAUCCCUCAAGUAUGUUAUCCAUCACAAUUGCUGUCUUCUUCAUUUUUCCCUUGUAUCCUGUCAGUGAAUCUACCCAACCAAAAAGGGGAACUGCAUCAGAAACCAUAAACAAGCCUACCAUAUGUAAGAAAUCCUUUGAAGCUUUCUGGAACCAUCUGGCCUCUUCAUUUUUAUACUCUCCAUUGCCAAAAUAGCGCUUCCCUGCAACCAUUCUCACCACUAUAUUCGUCGUGAGGUCUCCAAAUCUCUCUGUCAGUUCCACCACAGGCAUACCCUCUUCUCCUUUGCUUUUCCACAGCUCAUAAAGCCCCCUGACAAAUAAAUUGACUUCCGAAUCUAAAAUAUGUUUGAGCUUAUCAAGCCUACGGGUGGAUAGAAGCUCAACCAUCACUAGCUUACGCAGAUUGCGCCACUUUGGGCCAUAAGGGAGAAAUCCAAAGAUAGCACCAUCAUAUCCCAUGAUCUUCAAGGCUAGAGUCAUUGGACGGGUGGAUAAGGCCUUGUCAUGCACUGUAAAACAUUCUCGCGCAACUUCCCAGCUACUUACCACAAGAGUUUUGUGAAUCCCUAGCUGUAACAAGAAGACGGGUCCAAGUUUAUCUGCCAUGGCUGCGAAUAAAUGAUGUAAUAUCUUGUCGGCUCCUAGAAGAUGAAGGUGGCCGAUGAUUGGCCAUGCACCAGCAGGUUCCGGGGGAGCGUAGCCGCUCUUGUUGUGGCUUUUGGCAUGGAUACUUAAGAUCCUCCAUAGAACAACAAGAAAAACAACAAAGCCACAGAGAAGUAUGACUUGAGGUUGAGUGCUGAAAUCCAUUUAUUGGAUUCCUUAAAUUUGUAUUGUUAUCAGCUUUCACAGAGCAUUCUACAGUUAUAAUGAUAAGAUAACUAAUUCGAUUUCUUAAGUCCACGGAUAUUAUUGCUCAUGGGUCCACCAGGAAGUUGAGCAAUGACACCAUUGUUUGACCAGUGUUAUUGGUUACCAAUUAUGUUAAAUAGCAUUUUGGUCACUCAACUGACCGUAAACUUGCAAUCGGGUCAUCCAACUCUAAAAGCUUUCAUUCACAUUGGUGUACUCUUAAAAAUUUUCAUUCAGGUCACUGGCUAUUACACUUCGUUAAAAAUUUGAUGGAAAGCUGACAAAGUUUCGUGACUUGACUUAAAUAAAUCCACUGUGGCAUGUACAGUCAGCUAAAGCGACAUUUUGGUCACUGAACUGAUUACAAACUCACAAUCGGGUCACCAAACUCAAAAAACUUUCAUUUAGGUCACUUAUCAUAAUAUCCGUUAAAAAAUUGGAAAAAAAAGUUUUAAAAGCUAUCAUGCAACAUUUUUUUUUCUCUAUUGAAAUUUUCGAAAUUUAUUAAUAAAUGAAACAAAUACACAAACAUAAAAUCAAUAGUUUCACCCACAACAACUUAAUUUUUGUUUGUCUCUUAUCAUUUUCUAUAUCAUUAUCAUCAAUGAUUUCACUCACAAAAACUUCAUCCUUAUUAAUCUAUUGUCAUUUUAUAUAUCUUUAUUGUGGAAAAAUCCAUCAUAAAUUUAAUGAGUUUUUCCAAAAUGGUCUUGAGAUAUAUAAAACGAUAAGAGAUAAAUAAAGAUUAAGUUUUUGUGGCUGAAACUAUUGAUUUUAUGUGUGUAUUUGUUUCAUUUGUUGAUAAGUUUUGAAAUUUUUAAGAGAGAAAGAAAGGUGCUGCAUAAUAACUUUUAAUUCUUUUGUUUUUCAAUUUUUUAACGAAUAUUGUGAUAAGUGACCUAAAUGAAUGUUUUUUGAUUUUGAUGACCCGAUUGCAAGUGUGUAAUCAGUUGAGUGACCAAAAUGCCGUUUCAGCUGACUGUACAUGCCAUUGUGGAUAUAAUUAAGUCAAGUCAUGAAGUUUAGUCAGCAUUCCGUCAAAUUUUAAACCGGGUGCAGGGCUGAGCAAAAAAUCGAAAAGAAACCGAAACCGAACUGAAAACGAUAAAAACAGGUAAAAAAUCGAGGCGAAACCGAAACCGAAAAAUAAAAAACCGAACCGAAGUCAUGGGUUCGGUUCCGAUUAUUAGUUAAAACCGAACUGAAAAAAAACCGAACCGAUUAAUUAAUUAAAUAAAUAAUACUUGUAUAUUGUAUGAAUUAACUUGGGCUAAUGUUAAUGGACUUGGCAGCUAGGGUUGUGUUAAUUUGCAUCCAAAAUAUUUUCGUGUGUGUUGAUUCUUCCAUAGUUAUUCUCUGGACAACCUGAAUAAAUUAUACAGGCCGAGCCACAUAGAUGCCAGAACCUCUUAUAACCAUUUUCUCUAGCAAUUCUUCAUGUUUUUUUAUAUGUCAUGCUUAUGUAAGUUGCGGCCAAAUCAUUUUUUACCAUACCUCUUUGGUAUUGAUGGCUUAAGUGUUAAAAAACCUCCUGCACAAGAAAAAUGUACUAGAAAGUGCAGAUUAGUAAGUUGUAAAUCUUUCUGAAAACUUACUAAUUUAUUACUUUAAAAUGUUCAAGAUUAUGGUAAAUUCUAAUUCCACAACUCAAUUUGUCUAGAUCACGCACAUCAAUUUUGUCUCGUUCGUAUAUUAUUUAUAAUUCUUAUAUUUGUCGGUUUUGUAACCGAACCGAUUAUAACCGAACCGAGGUUACAGUCCGUCGGGCUGUAACGGCCAGUGACCUGAAUGAAAAUUUUUAAGAGUAUACAGAUGAGACUGAAAGCUUUUUGAAUUGGAUGACCCAAUUGCAAGUUUUUGAUCAGUUGAGUGACCAAAACGCCAUUUAGCCCGUUACCAAUUUGAACACUUCAGUUUCAGCAGAUGAUCUAUCAAUCACUUGGUCUACUUUAUCACGUACAACAAAUAGAGUCGCUGCUGCUAAUAUUACAUUUUUUUAAGUUAGUAAGUCCUGGACUAUCAGUCAUAUCGACGAGCAAGUCUGAAACAGUUCCUAGCUCAAAGCCAUGAAGCAACCUAGCCCGUGUCAAGUAGAGAACUUGGAGUGCAAGUGUGGAGCCAGGGCAUCUCCUCCUUCCGGAACCAAAUGGUAUCAGUUCAAAAUUCUUCCCCACAUUUCAACAUCAAUAUGUUUCUCAAUGAACCUCUCAGGUUGGAACUCUUGAGGACCAGACCAAAUGCAAGGGUCACGCUGCAACUUCCGGAGGUUUACAAAUAAGCGCGUGCCAGCUGAAAUGUGGAAGCCUGCCACGGUGCAAUCUUCUGAUGCUUCAUGGAGUGCAACAAUUGGUGCAGCUGAUCAAAGCACAGUUAUU